UACGGGGGGGGCAAGCGUUGUUCGGAAUUACUGGGCGUAAAGGGCUCGUAGGCGGCCAACUAAGUCAUACGUGAAAUCCCUCGGCUUAACCGGGGAACUGCGUCUGAUACUGGAUGGCUUGAGUUCGGGAGAGGGAUGCGGAAUUCCAGGUGUAGCGGUGAAAUGCGUAGAUAUCUGGAGGAACACCGGUGGCGAAGGCGGCAUCCUGGACCGACACUGACACUGAGGAGCGAAAGCCAGGGGAGCAAACGGG
rnacentral:rRNA from 1 species